UACGUAGGGGGCGAGCGUUGUCCGGAUUUAUUGGGCGUAAAGAGCGUGUAGGCGGCCUGACAGAUCUGCUGUGAAAACUCGAGGCUCAACCUCGAGAUGUCGGCGGAAACCGUCUGGCUAGAGUCCGGAAGAGGAGAGUGGAAUUCCUGGUGUAGCGGUGAAAUGCGCAGAUAUCAGGAGGAACACCAAUGGCGAAGGCAGCACUCUGGGACGUGACUGACGCUGAGACGCGAAAGCGUGGGGAGCAAACAGG
rnacentral:rRNA from 1 species